CUCUGACGAGGUCCCGCACCAGGAUAUCCCCAUGACCACACGGCACCACAACUCUGACACUGCCGAAGCACACGGUCACCUUCAUUUUCGGCCGAACAAAUGCACAAAUCUACCACACCGCCAGUAAAUAGAGCCGAGUCGCGUGCAAAUCGUGGCGGAUUACGGUGAUUCGGUGGUAGUUUCAUGGGUCAAAGCUGGCCGAGUGCGGGAGACGAGGCCGCAAACAUGUGCACAUUUCAAACAAAACAAAAGUUGCGCGGCGAUCGUAGCACACUUGCUCGCACUAUGUUGGCAUUUUAUAAACUAAAAAUUUCAAACGAGUUUUUGCCCCCUCUCGACCUACCUGGAAAGUGGCGGCCAAUAGAAGGGCGAGAUUACGGUGGCAAAUGCGCGAACUAGCGAUGGAAUGUUGCGGUUGGUCAAUGAGGAAGGGCGACCUCUGGGGGACAGGUAGCGGACUAAGGGGGUUUAAACAGGGAAAUGCAUUAUUUAUGAAAUUGGACGAGGAUUCAUUCACAAAAACGAAAUUCGGAAAAAAGCCCCCAUAAGUGAUUUAUUUGUUAGUUGUGCAUGCAUAUUUACAGCGUGUGCUAGCGAGUUAGUAACAUCCAGAAAAAUUACACAAAAUCUUGGAUCUUUUUGGCGUUGAAACAAAACUAGGAUAAGCAUCGAUUAAAUGAUCAGAUCCAGAAUUUUUUUUCUCCAGACGUGUGAUAACAUCUUUUUUUCUGUAAUCCGAACUAAUUGUUGCAACAGAUUCUUCAAAUUACA